UCCGGAGGGUGCAAGCGUUAGCCGGAAUCACUGGGUGUAAAGGGUGCGUAGGCGGCGUGGUAAGUCAGAGGUGAAAGCCCGCAGCUUAACUGCGGGCCUGCAUUUGAAACUGCGGAGCUUGAAAGAGGGUGAGGACAGCGGAACGUGAAGUGUAGCGGUGAAAUGCAUAGAUAUGUGGCAGAACACCAAUUGCGAAGGCAGCUGGCUGGGCUUUCUCUGACGCUGAGGAACGAAAGCGUGGGGAGCGAACAGG
rnacentral:rRNA from 1 species